UCUGCCGCCGCCGAAAUGUCCCGGCCGCUGUCGCCGCCGCGGGCCGCCUCCGGGGCCCCGGCUCGGCCCGCCACCGUGCUGGGCGCCAUGGAGAUGGGGCGCCGCAUGCACGCGUCCGCCAGCGCCGCGGCCGUGCGCGCCUUCCUGGAGCGCGGCCACACGGAGCUGGACACGGCCUUCGUGUACAGCGAAGGCCAGCCCUAGAGCAUCCUGGGCGGCUUGGGCCUCAGGCUGGGUGGCGGCGACUGCAGAGCGAAAAUUGCCACCAAGGCCAAUCCAUUGGGUGAGAAUUCACUGAAGCCUGACAGUGUCCGGGCCCAGCUGGAGACAUCCCUGAAACGGCUGCAGUGCCCCCGGGUGGACUGCUUUUACCUGCACCUACCUGACCACGACACCCCCGUGGAGGAGACGCUGCGUGCCUGCCACCAGCUGCACCAGGAGGGCAAGUUCGUGGAGCUUGGCCUCUCCAACUAUGCCGCCUGGGAGGUGGCCGAGAUCUGCACCCUCUGCAGGAGGAACGGCUGGUUCCUGCCCACUGUGUACCAGCCUCUGGGAGCAGGGUGGGCCUGGGGCUCUGAUGUCAGUCUCCCCGCAGGGGGCCUGCUGACGGGCAAGUAUAAGUAUGAGGACAAGGAUGGGAAAUAGCCUGUGUGCCGCUUCUUCGGGAAUAAAUGGGCUGAGAUCUACAGGAAUCGCUUCUGGAAGGAGCACUUCGAGGCCAUUGCCCUGGUGGAGAAGGCCCUGCAGGCCAUUGUGUGGCGGCAGCGCCCCCCGCAUGACCUCGGCUGCCCUCCAGUGGAUGUACCACCACUCCCAGCUGCAGGGUGCCCACAGGGACGCCGUCAUCCUGGGCAUGUCCAGCGUGGAGCAGCUGACACAGAACUUGGCGGCGACCAAGGAAGGGCCCCUGGAGCCGGCCGUGGUGCAGGCCUUCGAUCAAGCCUGGCACCUUCGAUUGUCGCCCACGAAUGUCCCAACUACUGCUAGGGCCAGUCCUGGCUUGAGGUGGCAGAGGGCCUCCAUCUGUCACUUCUUUUGACAAUCUCACCGUGGGCCUUAAAUGGCUUUAUUUGGCCUGUUCUUUCUCCACAGUGUCUGCUCACGAGCUGUUUAUUUCCUCCAUUCCCGCAAUGCUCCCAGCUGCCUUCACAAGAGAAGGCUGUGCUGUGACCCACUCGGGCGUGUCCUGCUUGGACAGAGCGGGCGCUAGACCCGGCUGCCCAGCCGCUCUGCUGCCUGUCCUUCCCAAGGGCUUGCGGGGAGGGGGCAGGAGCGCAGGCUUCCCAGCCUCCCGUCCAGAAUCCAGCCCGACCUCCGGACAGGGCAGCUGGAGGUGGCCCUCUCUCUGCUACGCACAAGAGAAAGGGCCAUAUGCCCUGAAGGUUUACCUACCAUUAGAGUCACUCCCAAGAAUAAAAGUCCCCAGGAUGCUGUGUAACAGUUUUCAUAUCUGCUCUGGGUUUCAGCAGUGGCUUUACUCAUCUUAGCAAAAGCAUCCUGUAAGACCCCCGGCCCUGGCUCGGGCAGGGGAUA